rnacentral:rRNA from 1 species
GUGGGGAAUAUUGGACAAUGGGCGCAAGCCUGAUCCAGCCAUGCCGCGUGAGUGAUGAAGGCCUUCGGGUUGUAAAGCUCUUUAGUCCACGAAUAUAAUGACUGUAGUGGAAGAAUAAGCCCCGGCUAACUUCGUGCCAGCAGCCGCGGUAAUACGAAGGGGGCGAGCGUUAUUCGGAAUCACUGGGCGUAAAGCGUGCGUAGGCUGUUUUGUAAGUCAGAAGUGAAAGCCCAGGGCUUAACCCUGGAAUUGCUUUUGAAACUACAAGACUCGAAUUCGGGAGAGGAUAGCGGAAUUGUCAGUGUAGCAGUGAAAUGCGUAGAUAUUGACAGGAACACCAGUGGCGCAAGCGGCUAUCUGGACCGAUAUUGACGCUGAGGCACGAAAGCGUGGGGAGCAAACAGGAUUAGAAACCCUGGUAGUCC